rnacentral:lncRNA from 14 species
ACAUGAAGGACUUGUCAGGAGAAUGUCUAGACAAAAUAUCGAGAUGGUAGUGUGUCAGAAACAUCCUAGCAGAGUCCUGGGAGGCAGAAGACCAGCUCAGGAGAAAUUAUACAUGCAGUGAAGUGGAGUGGGACUGCUGGCUCCAAGUUUGGAGAGAAGAACCACCCCAUAACUUUUUCCUUACUGAAAA